GUUGCCUGUGUCGGCUCGAUUUAGUGACGAUUGUUUACGAAGAUCGGUUUAUCUGAUUGGGAUAGUGACAUGAUUUGGGUUUCAUAGGAGCUAUGAGGUAUAGGCGAUCCUUAGGGAGAGCCCCUCUUAAAUACAACAAAUUGAACAGACCUUCGAUUGACCUUAUUCACAUCACCUUUGCACGAUCGGGAAAACAACGUGAUUCUACAAGCAAUCAACAUGACAAGUCUUCAUGAUCAAUUCCUCUACCAACGAUUGUCCCAAAGAUUAGUUUGUAGUUAGAAUUUGGACAAUGAUGUACAAUAGAGUCGGGAUUUGCAGCUUCUCUACAGAAUGAACACCGUUGGUGCGGUUUAGAGUCUUUUGACUGAUUUUUUUUGGACGUUGG